UGCCCAGCAACUCCUAUCCCUACCUCCUCGCGGUACUGGCCGGGGGGUUUAUGGACAAAAGGUCGAAGG
rnacentral:ribozyme from 1 species